UACGGAGGGGGUUAGCGUUGUUCGGAAUGACUGGGCGUAAAGCGCGCGUAGGCGGAUCAGGAAGUUGGGGGUGAAAUCCCGGGGCUCAACCCCGGAAUGGCCUUCAAAACUCCUGGUCUUGAGUUCGAGAGAGGUGAGUGGAAUUCCGAGUGUAGAGGUGAAAUUCGUAGAUAUUCGGAGGAACACCAGUGGCGAAGGCGGCUCACUGGCUGACACUGACGCUGAGGUGCGAAAGCGUGGGGAGCAAACAGG
rnacentral:rRNA from 1 species